GGGGUUGUAGCUCAGUUGGUUAGAGUACCUGCCUGUCACGCAGGGUGCCGCGAGUUCGAGUCUCGUCAACCCCG
rnacentral:tRNA from 1 species